rnacentral:lncRNA from 1 species
GCCACACUAAUUUAAUAAUAUAUUAAAAUAUUAUACAGUAUAUUGGGAGACAACAAAACAUUGUUUAUAUCUGACUGACUUGUACGGUUCUCCCAUGAUUUGAAAUCCCAAUGGGGGUAGGAAUCUGCAUACAAGCAAAGGGUUGGAAUCUAUAGACUAAAUAAUUGAUAUAUGCUACCAAAGUCCUUCCCUUCGUUGGCACUAGAAACAAGCUUUCGGUUUUGUCCCUUGUCAUGGCCACCACAAACCACA